GAAGUAAACCAGAAAACUAGGAUCGAACCUCGCAAAUGGGAACAGACUUGAGAUAGUGAUAGAAUGGGAACCCUAAUACUCUGGAACACUAAAGAGGGGUGGGGAGAUGGGUUACUGGCGGCAUAUGUGGUGGGCCAUACAAAAUAAAAAAAAUUAGACAUGGCAAUAAGUAUAUGUAAAUCAUGUGUGUCCAAAUUAUCAUAUCCAAAGUUAUAUAUCUGCAUGGUAUAUACCAUAUAGACUUCUAGAACAUGUAUUGUUACAAGCAAUUCAUGUGGAACUCAUUUAUUGGGGAUUCGGUUCUAGAAUUUUGUUUUUGCUUUGGUAAACAUGUGAAGAGACUAGGUUAUACAUACAUAGACUGAACUCAUUAAACACCAACAACAAUGUUAGAUUGAUAAGACUUAGGAAAUAUAAAAAUGUAGAUGGAAUAGCAAACAAGAAUUUCACAUAACAAAGACAGAACAGUAGACGCAGAAAUGCAAAAGAUACAAGUUUUAGAAAAUAUAAACAUGUAGAUGGACAGAUAAUGAUGGACAACACAUUACGAACACCUUUUCUUUCAAUAUUUGGGACGAUUGGUUCCUUUGUGUGCUCGGGAUUUGCAACAAGAGCAACGUGGACUACUCUCUCGCGGACGUGGCUGAGCCCAGUAAGCCCCAUCGAUUUGUACCCAUCCUCUUUCUUCUCCAUAAGUCUCCAUCCAUAAACUAGCUCCAUCCAUGUGGAUUGUUGGCCUUAAGACACUUUGUAAAGAAAUGAUAAUAGAUGGAGUGCGACAUUGACCACCACAUAAAAUACCGAGAUCUGUCCAGGCAGACACAACUAAUUGAAUUGUUUUUGACAAAAAA
rnacentral:sRNA from 1 species